rnacentral:rRNA from 1 species
UGGGGAAUAUUGCACAAUGGGCGCAAGCCUGAUGCAGCCAUGCCGCGUGUGUGAAGAAGGCCUUCGGGUUUUAAAGCACUUUCAGCGGGGAGGAAGGCGUUAAGGUUAAUAACCUUGGCGAUUGACGUUACCCGCAGAAGAAGCACCGGCUAACUCCGUGCCAGCAGCCGCGGUAAUACGGUGGGUGCAAGCGUUAAUCGGAAUUACUGGGCGUAAAGCGCACGCAGGCGGUUGAUUGAGUCAGAUGUGAAAUCCCCGGGCUUAACCCGGGAAUUGCAUCUGAUACUGGUCAGCUAGAGUCUUGUAGAGGGGGGUAGAAUUCCAUGUGUAGCGGUGAAAUGCGUAGAGAUGUGGAGGAAUACCGGUGGCGAAGGCGGCCCCCUGGACAAAGGAUGACGCUCAGGUGCGAAAGAGUGGGGAGCAAACAGG